rnacentral:tRNA from 1 species
UGGGUUGUAGCUUAGUGGUACAGCACUUGCCUAGCAUGUAUGAGGCACUGGGUUCGAUUCUCAGCACCACAU